GCCGGCGUAGCUCAGUUGGUAGAGCGGCUGAUUCGUAAUCAGUAGGUCGGGGGUUCAACUCCCUCCGCCGGCUCCA
rnacentral:tRNA from 1 species